UACGUAGGGUGCGAGCGUUGUCCGGAAUUAUUGGGCGUAAAGGGCUCGUAGGCGGUUUGUCGCGUCGGGAGUGAAAACUCAGGGCUUAACCCUGAGCCUGCUUCCGAUACGGGCAGACUAGAGGUAUGCAGGGGAGAACGGAAUUCCUGGUGUAGCGGUGAAAUGCGCAGAUAUCAGGAGGAACACCGGUGGCGAAGGCGGUUCUCUGGGCAUUACCUGACGCUGAGGAGCGAAAGCUAGGGGAGCGAACGGG
rnacentral:rRNA from 1 species